GGGACGGGCCGUGACUGGCGUUCGGGUGGAUCACCACCGGGGAGCGGCCCGGCGCACCUCCCGUGCGCCCGGCGUAC
rnacentral:ncRNA from 2 species